rnacentral:rRNA from 1 species
UACGGAGGGUGCAAGAGUUAUCCGGAUUCACUGGGUUUAAAGGGUGCGUAGGAGGGCAGGUAAGUCAGUGGUGAAAUCUCCAAGCUUAACUUGGAAACUGCCGUUGAUACUAUCUGUCUUGAAUAUUGUGGAGGUGAGCGGAAUAUGUCAUGUAGCGGUGAAAUGCUUAGAUAUGACAUAGAACACCAAUUGCGAAGGCAGCUCACUACACAAUCAUUGACUCUGAGGCACGAAAGCGUGGGGAUCAAACAGG